GACCUGUCAGGCUUACCUAGCCCGUCUGACAGUGGCCUUCGAUCUUCACAUUGGAAUGACAGGGGGCCAGAUGGGGGCUGCAGCUCAUACAGCAUUUCAUGACCCGGUUGAGGCCAGAAAUCGCUGCAGCAGUAAGAUGAAGAUGCGUCUUUUGGAAAACAGUCAAUGAUAUUAGACUACGCUGGCCACGCGGAGGGAGAGCUUAGGGAGCGAGAAGAGAGCAGAGGGAAAGAGCAGCAGAAGAAGCUAGUGGACGCACAGUUGUCUAUGUUUAACUCCAUCGACACCACAAGACAAAAGAAAGAGUCCUCCCGUUGCGGGAAAGAGGGGGCCGGGGGAGAGGUUGCAAGAAUGACCAGCAAAGUGUCAGCGACCCGGAUUUUUUGUUGGAACUGUGGGGAAACUGGACAUUGGCAAGAUGAAUGCAAAAAAGAAAAAAAGAGGGGUUAUGUGAAAUCGGACUGAAAUGAGGGAGUGGAGGCGGAGUGGACACUGGGGACGGACCGGCCUGCCACACACGCAUCAAUGGUUGUUCCAAGGAGAAUUUUGCCCGCAUGUGGCGUUGGCUAAGCCUGCUGAUUGGAGAUGGAGGGAUCUGGGGAGGUGGAUUCACACUCAGAGUCAGCUGACUGACUACAAGCCCAUGUAAGGGGAUCCGAGAACACUGUACAGUAAAAAGGGUGAUGUAUACAAGGCUCUAUUGACAUACACUGGUCUAGUUAAGAGAACUGUUGAACCAAGUCCAGUAACAGGUUUCUCACUGUUUCACACUGUGAGAAAUACAUUAUAAGUUGCUGAUUUUUAGGAUUUCACUGUAAUUAACUUGUGAGAAAUUAGCAUUGGUCACAGGGUUUUUAUUUCUAAUCAAAGGGUUGUCUGACUUACAAUGAACAUCUGCUGACAUGUAGGUGGGAGUUUUAACAUAGACUAAUCAAGAAGUAGGAACACAACUUUGAUGCCACAUACAAUUGCAUUCUUAUCAGCCCAGGAAGAAGCUUUUGAGUGUGUGCUAAAACUCUGCCAUUUGUUUUCCCUUGUCUUGGCAGUUUACUAUUGCUGUACUUGUUCUGUAUUUAAGAAGAAGAAAUGCUGAGUUCAGGCCAUGGAGUUCUCUCCAUGGCCACGUAACAUAAAGAAAUGAUUCAACACA